GAUGAAGAACGCAGCGAAAUGCGAUAAGUAAUGUGAAUUGCAGAAUUCAGUGAAUCAUCGAAUCUUUGAACGCACAUUGCGCCCGCCAGUAUUCUGGCGGGCAUGCCUGUCCGAGCGUCAUUUCAACCAUCAAGCCCCCGGGCUUGUGUUGGGGACCUGCGGCUGCCCGCAGGCCCUGAAAACCAGUGGCGGGCACGCUGUCACACCGAGCGUAGUAGCAAUCACCUCGCUCAGGGCGUGCUGCGGGUUCCGGCCGUUAAACAGCCUUACAAAACCCAAGGUUGACCUCGGAUCAGGUAGGAAGACCCGCUGAACUUAAGCAUAUCAAUAAGCGGAGGA
rnacentral:misc_RNA from 1 species